CAGCAGCCACGGGAAUACAGAGGGUGCGAGCGUUAAUCGGAUUUACUGGGCGUAAAGCGUGCGUAGGCGGCUUCUUAAGUCGGAUGUGAAAUCCCUGAGCUUAACUUAGGAAUUGCAUUCGAUACUGGGAAGCUAGAGUAUGGGAGAGGAUGGUAGAAUUCCAGGUGUAGCGGUGAAAUGCGUAGAGAUCUGGAGGAAUACCGAUGGCGAAGGCAGCCAUCUGGCCUAAUACUGACGCUGAGGUACGAAAGCAUGGGGAGCAAACAGGAUUAGAUACCCCAGUAGUCCCUGUCUCUUAUAC
rnacentral:rRNA from 1 species